rnacentral:rRNA from 1 species
UGAACGCUGGCGGCAUGCCUUACACAUGCAAGUCGAACGGUAACAGGCCUUCGGGUGCUGACGAGUGGCGAACGGGUGAGUAAUGCAUCGGAACGUGCCCAGAGGUGGGGGAUAACGCAGCGAAAGCUGUGCUAAUACCGCAUGUGAUCUGAGGAUGAAAGCGGGGGACCAAGCAGCAAUGUUUGGCCUCGCGCCUCUGGAGCGGCCGAUGUCAGAUUAGGUAGUUGGUGGGGUAAAGGCCUACCAAGCCGACGAUCUGUAGCUGGUCUGAGAGGACGACCAGCCACACUGGGACUGAGACACGGCCCAGACUCCUACGGGAGGCAGCAGUGGGGAAUUUUGGACAAUGGGCGCAAGCCUGAUCCAGCAAUGCCGCGUGCGGGAAGAAGGCCUUCGGGUUGUAAACCGCUUUUGUACGGAACGAAAAGGCUCUGGCUAAUACCUGGGGCUGAUGACGGUACCGUAAGAAUAAGCACCGGCUAACUACGUG